rnacentral:rRNA from 1 species
CUAAGUUUGAUGGCGACCGGCGCACGGGUGAGUAACACGUAUCCAACCUGCCGAUGACUCGGGGAUAGCCUUUCGAAAGAAAGAUUAAUACCCGAUGGCAUAGUUCUUCCGCAUGGUGGAACUAUUAAAGAAUUCCGGUCAUCGAUGGGGAUGCGUUCCAUUAGGUUGUUGGCGGGGUAACGGCCCACCAAGCCUUCGAUGGAUAGGGGUUCUGAGAGGAAGGUCCCCCGCAUUGGAACUGAGACACGGUCCAAACUCCUACGGGAGGCAGCAUG